AAUGUCCAUUGUCACGUCCCGCGCUGCGCACGCGCCGUAACAAGUAAGUUAAGUUCGACUUAGACUGUGGCAGAAAUCGCAUACGUCAUCCCGUUGACCGUGGAUUCGUUAUCGAACCUAAAUUCAUUGAUUAUCUAAUCGCCGCUAUUACUUGUUAAACUC